rnacentral:rRNA from 1 species
AAUCAACGCUGGCGGCGUGCCUCAGACAUGCAAGUCGAACGAUUAAACUUUCCUUCGGGAAAGAUAUAAAGUGGCGCACGGGUGAGUAACACGUAAGUAAUCUACCUUCGAGUGGGGAAUAACGUUCGGAAACGAACGCUAAUACCGCAUAAUGCAGCGGCACCUAAAUGGUGACAGUUGUUAAAGGAGCAAUUCGCUUGAAGAGGAGCUUGCGGCAGAUUAGCUAGUUGGAAGGUAAUGGCUUACCAAGGCUACGAUCUGUAACCGGUCUAAGAGGACGGUCGGUCACACUGACACUGAAUAACGGGUCAGACUCCUACGGGAGGCAGCAGUCGGGAAUUUUGGGCAAUGGGCGAAAGCCUGACCCAGCAACGCCGCGUGAAGGAUGAAGUAUUUCGGUAUGUAAACUUCGAAAG